UACGUAGGUGGCAAGCGUUAUCCGGAUUUAUUGGGCGUAAAGGGAACGCAGGCGGUCUUUUAAGUCUGAUGUGAAAGCCUUCGGCUUAACCGGAGUAGUGCAUUGGAAACUGGGAGACUUGAGUGCAGAAGAGGAGAGUGGAACUCCAUGUGUAGCGGUGAAAUGCGUAGAUAUAUGGAAGAACACCAGUGGCGAAAGCGGCUCUCUGGUCUGUAACUGACGCUGAGGUUCGAAAGUGUGGGUAGCAAACAGG
rnacentral:rRNA from 1 species